AUGAGCCACUGCACCCAGCCCUAUGUUAUUUUAUCCCUCUCGUCUGUGGCAUUUUGUUAUGGUAGCCUGAGCAGACUAAUUAAUAUACCUUUCCCUUUCCGUAGAGGAUACAGUCAUUCAAGAAUCCACUCACCCUGCCUAGAACAGAUGAAUGACAGACUAGAAGACACUGGAUUGGAUCAAGAAAUUGGAGGGAUCAAUUCCAUCAUUGAUCAAAAAAGAAAAGAAAAGGCAUGGAAAUGUGUGCCAAUCAGAAAGCAGGAACAAACGUAUAUAACUGAUGAUGACUUUAGUGCUAUGCAUGCAGUACUCCACUAGACAAAAAUGAAAAUACAUUGAAUACCAGAUGACAAGGUAAGUUAACGGAGGUCCUUCUCAGUGGGAAGGGAUUAACUUUUUCUUCUGAAGACCCAGAGUGAUGACUGUUUUGACUCCUGGUAUCAAAACAAACAAACUGAAUAAAAGGGUCAAAGUAUUAAAUAUGUACUCAUUUCACAUUCUCUAAACUGUUAAGUUCAUGUAAGAGAACUUUGGCCAUAAUUUGAAUCUGAAGGACACUACUGCAGUUUAAAUAUUUUUCAAUCCUUCAGUAAAUGAUAAUAUUCAAGUAAUUACGUGCCUUUCUUUUCAAAGAUAGUGCUUGCACUUUGUAAGUGUCCAACGGUAUGAUUUCCUAUGAGAUACACAAGAGAUUAUCAUUACUAUUAACAGACACCAUCCUCAUAUGUAGGUGCAUAGAGCCACACUUUGAUGUUUGACCUGAAGGAGAACAAAAAAAUGAAUAAAUAAAUUUUAGAAUGUUUAUUUUGUCUUCAAAAUUUAUGUAAAGCUGUUUUGGUGGGAUGUUGUUUGAAGCAUCACAAGAUCUCUUCUGCUCUAGUUUGCCAUUUUCCUACCUCCAACACUUAUAUUUGCUUAUUCAUACAGUGAAAUUUUUAUAAAUUUAAGAGUAGCCAAAACACAAUGGCAAAUAUUUCCAAGGUAACUUGUCUGGUUUUCUCAUAAAGGUAUAUUACUAUGAAGUCUUCACAUUACAACCAUACUGCCACUGAAUAUAGCAUUUAAAGUGAAAUAUAUAAAAAGAGAUUGCCAUUCUAAUUUCAAUAAAAUUGAUAUAUAAGAAAUAAAUAUAAAAGAAGCUUUUGACAAAGCUGAAUAAAUAAAAGAUUUUGAAGAAAGCUGUUUCUAUGUAAUAUAAAAUUAAUUAUGAAGCCAUUUCAUAAACAUAUCUCAUAAUAGCAGCCACAUGGCUUCUUAAUUAGAAUAUAAAACAUUAACAUAUUAAUAAUUUUAAAAAUUAUUAGCUCUCUAAUUGCAAAAACUGUAAAUAAAGAUCGGCAUUUUUAUGUUUCACAUUGUUUUUAAAACGCUGAUAAACAUUAUAUUUUAACAGAAAGGUCUGUAUACAAAAUAUCUUAAAACAUGCAAAGUUUGCAUAUUGAAAUAACUUUUCAGGAAAUACAUUUUGUAUUCAAAUCAUGAAUGCCUUCUGUGGCCUUAGUGUCAAUAUCUUUAAGCAUUUCUUGAGUUGAUUUAUAUUUUUAACACAAAUUUAUUCUGAAACAUAUAUAAUACUUGUAUAAAAUUUUGAACAACUUACUUGAAAACACUCUUGUCGCAUCACUUACUUCCAGCUGUUAACAAAAUAAGUAAUGAACUUGAAAUUGCAUCAGCCAGUAUAAUAAAUGUACUAUACCGAAAAGGUUACCUUGUUUGAAUAAAAAAAAUUGUUAUAAAAUAUGUUGGUGCACAAUUCUGGACCUAAAUUUGUACAUACAAAUAUUAAUGGUAAUGAUUUUAAGUGCAAAAAGACAAAGCUCGUAACAGAAGUUGAUGAAGGACAUAAGACAUUUCAUGUAAUGAUUUUCAUAAUAAAGUCUUAUUUUUACGCUGAUUUACUAAUUUAUCAUACAAAUUUGGAAAAAUCUUACACUGUGCACAUGUGUCAUUUAUUUUAAAAAUGAAUAAAAACUGCUGAAGAAAAUUUAAUUAGGGUAAUGACAUAUUGACACCUAAAUUCUCACACAUUCAAUAUUAAAUCUUAAUUACUAUUGUUAAAUUAUGAAAUAAAUACUGUGUUUUUUGCUAAUAUUUGAUUUUCCUUUAUAUAUUUUCCUUAUUUAUUCAAUGUUGUGUUUCCUCAGAAGAUAAUUUAAGAAUGUAAAAUUCAACACAUUUUGUGACAGGGAAUUGUUUGGUUUAUUCUACACUGUAAGCUGCAUGUAUACUUGAUAGUUAUAUAAAAUUAUACCUUUUGAGAUGGAGGAAUCAAAAUAUCUUAUUUUUUAACACUUAAAAUAAAACACACAUAAUUGAUCCCUAUAAAAGAAACACUAGAGCAAUGAAUAAUAAAUCAAUGUUUUCUUGUUUUUGGAAAACAAGAAAAUAAGGUUAAACAUCUUUUUAAUCCUUGCACAAAUAUUUUCAUUUCAUUUGAUACAUAGUAUAGUGUUAAACUCAUUUGUUAACACAUAAUGAUUUUUUCCUCUAAUUCAAAAAUGAUUUUUCAUAUAUACAGAAGUAAUAUCUGCUUUAAAAAUGUAUAUUACUAAAUAUAAUAUAAUGUUGAAAUAUCAGUAUAUUUAAUAUACACUGGAACCUCAAAACCUGAGACAUAUUUCAGUCUUCAUAUGUUUUCUUGUCAACUUAUGGGACACCUUUCCAGUUAUAUAAUUUUUAUUAUAAGAUGCUUCUAAAUAUAAUAACUUAUUUGAUAUAGCUUAUAUAUAUAUCAAAGCAUAUUUAUAAUGUAAACAAAUUAAAACAAGCAUAUAAAUAUGUAAUAUAUCAUAAAACACUUCAAAGAGGCAAAUUCUAAUAACACAUAAGAUUAAUAUGGUUAUAAAAUAUUACACUGAUGAUAAAGGACUUUUUUGAGAAAUCAAUAAUUGUCUAAUGAGAAUCAAGAAUUGAAAUAUGUCAUCAAUGGUUUUUCUAAAAACAUACUUUCUGAAACUUAUUUGCCAAACAUUAUGUUAACUGCUAAGCAGCAACUAAAAAUAUAUAUUGUCUGCUCCUCAGGAGCAUAAAAACAAAGGGACUAAGUAUUUACAGGCAUACACAAGCAUUUUGAAAGGGCCAUGCUACAUACCAAAAGCAUCAUAAAUGCGUUUUGUUGAAGAAUUAUGAUAGUAAUGCUAUUGUGUUUGAAAACAUAAUCUAAUGAUUAAACCACAAUUUGAUUUAGCAAAAAAAUAAAUAAAUAAAAUAAAUGGACGAUUCAUUGUCUAGAAACACAUACAGUAUUUUUUCAAUUAUUUAAGCA
ensembl:lncRNA